UACGUAGGGUGCGAGCGUUAAUCGGAAUUACUGGGCGUAAAGGGUGCGUAGGCGGUUCGUUAAGUCUGUUGUGAAAUCCCCGGGCUCAACCUGGGAAUGGCAAUGGAUACUGGCGAGCUAGAGUGUGAUAGAGGAUGGUGGAAUUCCCGGUGUAGCGGUGAAAUGCGUAGAGAUCGGGAGGAACAUCAGUGGCGAAGGCGGCCAUCUGGAUCAACACUGACGCUGAAGCACGAAAGCGUGGGGAGCAAACAGG
rnacentral:rRNA from 1 species